GUUGUCGUCAGCUCGUGUCGUGAGAUGUUGGGUUAAGUCCCGCAACGAGCGCAACCCUUGAUUUUAGUUGCCAGCAUUUAGUUGGGCACUCUAAAGUGACUGCCGGUGCAAGCCGGAGGAAGGUGGGGAUGACGUCAAAUCAUCAUGCCCCUUAUGACCUGGGCUACACACGUGCUACAAUGGAUAGUACAAAGGGUCGCGAAGCCGCGAGGUGGAGCUAAUCCCAUAAAACUAUUCUCAGUUCGGAUUGUAGGCUGCAACUCGCCUACAUGAAGCCGGAAUCGCUAGUAAUCGUGGAUCAGCAUGCCACGGUGAAUACGUUCCCGGGCCUUGUACACACCGCCCGUCACACCACGAGAGUUUGUAACACCCGAAGUCGGUAGGGUAACCUUUAUGGAGCCAGCCGCCGAAGGUGGGACAGAUAAUUGGGGUGAAGUCGUAACAAGGUAGCCGUAUCGGAAGGUGCGGCUGGAUCACCUCCUUUCUAAGGAA
rnacentral:rRNA from 1 species